AUGCAUAUUGAAGAGUUAUUAAAGUUAAAAGCUAUAAGAGAAAGCAGAAGCCCUCAUCGAUCUGCUGCUUUUAUAGUUAGAAAUCAUGCUGAAGAAGUUAGAGGCCUAAAGAAUGCACCUGCACUAUUUCAAAGAAAGAUGCAAAAUAUAUUUAAUGAGAAUCAAGCAUUUAUAUUAGUAUACGUAGAUGAUUUGUUAGUAUUCUCAAAAUCAUACAAAGAGCAUAUAGCCCAUCUUGAAGUGUUCUUUCGAAAGGGAGAACAAAAUGGGCUCAUACUAUCUAAAAAGAAGAUGGAGAUUUGCAAAGAGAAAAUAAAUUUCCUUGGUCAUGAAAUAGGAGAAGGAAAAAUAUAUCUACAAGAACAUAUUGGAAAGAAAAUAUUAGAGUUUCCUGAUAAUAUGAGUGAUAAAAAGGUUUUACAACAGUUCUUAGGAAUUGUAAACUAUGCGCGAAACUAUAUAGAUAACUUAGCAAAGCUAGCAGGACCUUUAUAUGCUAAAUUAAGAAAAAAUGGUCAAAGAUACUUCAAUUCUGAAGAUAUAAAAUUAGUAAAGGCCAUCAAGGAAAAGGUCAGGAAUUUAAAACCCCUAGAAUUUCCCCUAGAAGACAAUUAUUUUAUAAUUGAGACAGAUGCAUCUAAGGUAGGAUGGGGUGCGAUACUAAAACAAAAGCCCAAUAAAUACUCUCCAAAGGCAGACGAAAAAUAUGCAGAUACGCUUCAGGAAGUUACAAAUUAA
rnacentral:rRNA from 1 species